rnacentral:rRNA from 1 species
GAAACCCGGUGAUCUAGCCAUGGGCAGGUUGAAGGUUGGGUAACACUAACUGGAGGACCGAACCGACUAAUGUUGAAAAAUUAGCGGAUGACUUGUGGCUGGGGGUGAAAGGCCAAUCAAACCGGGAGAUAGCUGGUUCUCCCCGAAAGCUAUUUAGGUAGCGCCUCGUGAAUUCAUCUCCGGGGGUAGAGCACUGUUUCGGCAAGGGGGUCAUCCCGACUUACCAACCCGAUGCAAACUGCGAAUACCGGAGAAUGUUAUCACGGGAGACACACGGCGGGUGCUAACGUCCGUCGUGAAGAGGGAAACAACCCAGACCGCCAGCUAAGGUCCCAAAGUCAUGGUUAAGUGGGAAACGAUGUGGGAAGGCCCAGACAGCCAGGAUGUUGGCUUAGAAGCAGCCAUCAUUUAAAGAAAGCGUAAUAGCUCACUGGUCGAGUCGGCCUGCGCGGAAGAUGUAACGGGGCUAAACCAUGCACCGAAGCUGCGGCAGCGACACUAUGUGUUGUUGGGUAGGGGAGCGUUCUGUAAGCCUGUGAAGGUGGCCUGUGAGGGUUGCUGGAGGUAUCAGAAGUGCGAAUGCUGACAUAAGUAACGAUAAAGCGGGUGAAAAGCCCGCUCGCCGGAAGACCAAGGGUUCCUGUCCAACGUUAAUCGGGGCAGGGUGAGUCGACCCCUAAGGCGAGGCCGAAAGGCGUAGUCGAUGGGAAACAGGUUAAUAUUCCUGUACUUGGUGUUACUGCGAAGGGGGGACGGAGAAGGCUAUGUUGGCCGGGCGACGGUUGUCCCGGUUUAAGCGUGUAGGCUGGUUUUCCAGGCAAAUCCGGAAAACCAAGGCUGAGGCGUGAUGACGAGGCACUACGGUGCUGAAGCGACAAAUGCCCUGCUUCCAGGAAAAGCCUCUAAGCAUCAGGUAACAUCAAAUCGUACCCCAAACCGACACAGGUGGUCAGGUAGAGAAUACCAAGGCGCUUGAGAGAACUCGGGUGAAGGAACUAGGCAAAAUGGUGCCGUAACUUCGGGAGAAGGCACGCUGAUAUGUAGGUGAAGCGACUUGCUCGUGGAGCUGAAAUCAGUCGAAGAUACCAGCUGGCUGCAACUGUUUAUUAAAAACACAGCACUGUGCAAACACGAAAGUGGACGUAUACGGUGUGACGCCUGCCCGGUGCCGGAAGGUUAAUUGAUGGGGUUAGCGGUAACGCGAAGCUCUUGAUCGAAGCCCCGGUAAACGGCGGCCGUAACUAUAACGGUCCUAAGGUAGCGAAAUUCCUUGUCGGGUAAGUUCCGACCUGCACGAAUGGCGUAAUGAUGGCCAGGCUGUCUCCACCCGAGACUCAGUGAAAUUGAACUCGCUGUGAAGAUGCAGUGUACCCGCGGCAAGACGGAAAGACCCCGUGAACCUUUACUAUAGCUUGACACUGAACAUUGAGCCUUGAUGUGUAGGAUAGGUGGGAGGCUUUGAAGUGUGGACGCCAGUCUGCAUGGAGCCGACCUUGAAAUACCACCCUUUAAUGUUUGAUGUUCUAACGUUGGCCCCUAAUCGGGGUUGCGGACAGUGUCUGGUGGGUAGUUUGACUGGGGCGGUCUCCUCCUAAAGAGUAACGGAGGAGCACGAAGGUUGGCUAAUCCUGGUCGGACAUCAGGAGGUUAGUGCAAUGGCAUAAGCCAGCUUGACUGCGAGCGUGACGGCGCGAGCAGGUGCGAAAGCAGGUCAUAGUGAUCCGGUGGUUCUGAAUGGAAGGGCCAUCGCUCAACGGAUAAAAGGUACUCCGGGGAUAACAGGCUGAUACCGCCCAAGAGUUCAUAUCGACGGCGGUGUUUGGCACCUCGAUGUCGGCUCAUCACAUCCUGGGGCUGAAGUAGGUCCCAAGGGUAUGGCUGUUCGCCAUUUAAAGUGGUACGCGAGCUGGGUUUAGAACGUCGUGAGACAGUUCGGUCCCUAUCUGCCGUGGGCGCUGGAGAACUGAGGGGG